rnacentral:lncRNA from 1 species
GGCCUCUUUUGCAAAGAGAGCCACAUUCUAGGGGGAGAGCCGCUCUGCACUGCUUUGCUCUAAGCAGCUCCUUCCGAGUCCGCAGGAGUAUUCCAGGCCGAUUGAGUGGAAAAACAAAUAAAUAUAAAGGAGAUGUGAAGUGCAGAGGUUGCUGAGGCCCAGGAUGACCGCGGUUUGACGCCUGGGAGGGUUCUCACAGUCCGCUCCCAGCUCCAUCCUUUGAGUGGUGCAGCUGUGGUCCACGCACAGGGAUGCAGGUGGUAGGGGCACUUGCAGUAAGCUCCUCCCACAGUCACCCAGCAGCCGUGGGCCAGAGUCUUCUUUCAUCCCUCUCUACUGCUUGGAUGCCACGGAGAAAGAGCGACCAGUUUCU